CCUUAGGUGGUGGAGAGUUGGCUGGUGGUAGCAUGCUGGGCCUUUCAGCAUCUUGGAGUGUCUACAAGCUAUUGUCCGGUUUGGUGGGUGGUGCUCUUUGACUGAGAUUUGCUGACAUGAUCUCCAGCUGGACAGAGAGGCAACCUUCCCACGGAGUACCGCUACAAAGACAUACUUACUGAGAAGCCCUAGAAACUCAGUGAGGAGUGAUAACCAUCUCUUCGAAAGGACUGAACCCCUGGUCUUCACCCUCCAUGAAGCGGGGAAUGGGGGAAUAUGAGAUUAAAGGUGGUUCACGGUGAAUCUCCCAAUGUAAGGCUGUAAGGAUGAAUGGGAGUGGUAUCAAGAACAUCAAGACAAUGCCUAUCAUAUAGGAAGUGCUUAAUAAAUGCUUAUUAUUGACUAAUAUGGAAAUAUGU
rnacentral:lncRNA from 1 species